rnacentral:rRNA from 1 species
CCUACGGGAGGCAGCAGUGGGGAAUAUUGCACAAUGGGGGAAACCCUGAUGCAGCGACGCCGCGUGAGUGAAGAAGUAAUUCGUUAUGUAAAGCUCUAUCAGCAGGGAAGAAAAUGACGGUACCUGAGUAAGUAGCCCCGGCUAACUACGGGACAGCAGCCGCGGUAAUACGUCGGGGGCAAGCGUUAGCCGGAUUUACUGGGGGGAAAGGGAGCGUAGACGGCAGUGCAAGUCUGGAGUGAAAGGCGGGGGGUCAACCCCCGGACUGCUCUGGAAACUGUACGGCUGGAGUGCAGGAGAGGUAAGUGGAAUGCCUAGGGGAGCGGUGAAAUGCGUAGAAAUUAGGAGGAACACCAGUGGCGGAGGGGGCUUACUGGACUGUAACUGACGGUGAGGCUCGAAAGCGGGGGG